UACGUAGGGUGCAAGCGUUGUCCGGAAUUAUUGGGCGUAAAGAGCUCGUAGGCGGUCUGUCGCGUCGAAUGUGAAAACCCGGGGCUCAACCCCGGGCCUGCAUUCGAUACGGGCAGACUAGAGUUCGGUAGGGGAGUCUGGAAUUCCUGGUGUAGCGGUGAAAUGCGCAGAUAUCAGGAGGAACACCGGUGGCGAAGGCGGGACUCUGGGCCGGUUCUGACGCUGAGGCGGCGAAAGCGUGGGGAGCAAACAGGAGUUAGAU
rnacentral:rRNA from 1 species